GGGCCAGCCCCAUCUGGAAGACUAGUGAUUUUGUUGUUGUCUUGCUGCGCCCAACAACAAGUCCCAGUCUGCCGCAUGGUGCGGGCCA
rnacentral:pre_miRNA from 9 species